AACGAACGCUGGCGGCAGGCCUCAAACAUGCAAGUCUAGGGGGUGUAGCAAUACAUCACCGGCGGACGGGUGCGUAACGCGUGGGAAUAUACCUAUCGAUUCGGAACAACUGAGGGAAACUUCAGCUAAUACCGAAUACGUCCUAACGGAGAAAGAUUUAUCGUCGAUAGAUUAGCCCGCGUUCGAUUAGCUAGUUGGUGGGGUAACGGCCCACCAAGGCGACGAUCGAUAGCUGUUCUGAGAGGAAGAUCAGCCACACUGGGACUGAGACACGGCCCAGACUCCUACGGGAGGCAGCAGUUGGGAAUCUUGGACAAUGGGGGAAACCCUGAUCCAGCCAUGCCGCGUGAGUGAUGAAGGCCUUCGGGUUGUAAAACUCUUUCGCGCACGACGAUAAUGACGGUAGUGCGAGAAGAAGCUCCGGCUAACUUCGUGCCAGCAGCCGCGUAAU
rnacentral:rRNA from 1 species